UGAGAACCCUGAAGGAAGACGAACCAAGAGGAGGAAGGCGCCGUGUGACUUCUACACUGUCAGCUCUUUGUGAUGCCCUCUUCUUUUUUAAGCAUCUGUGUCCAGCAUGAGGAGAGAGAGAUGUUAUGGUUGCAGAGAGCACCUAAUGGGGCGAUGGGAUUCAGUCACAGAUGGGGGGUCAAGUGAUCUGCCUUUUCUGGAAGGAUCUUUCAGAUGGUUGUGGUGAGACUAAUUGUGAUAGCAUGCAAAAUGGAGCCAGUACUUUUAUCUUCAUUAACAAAGAGACUGUUUCUUUUUCUGUUUUUUUUUUCUAUUUUUUUUUUUCUGAGAUUCGUCAACUCUUGCAGCCGCUGAUUGAGCCAAUGAUACUCUGUGUUCUCUGUAAAUGGGAGGCAUGUGUUUAAUUGCCAAAACCAAAAAAAAAAAUAGAAAAGAUAGUGAAUGAUGUGAAAAUAAAUGCGCUUUUUCAGUUUAUUUCUGUUUAUAGUGAACUUCACCAUAUCCUAGGGUAUAAAUAUCUUCCAUAAUUUAUUAACCAAACAAGAGAGUCGCACUGAUUGCCUAAGCUAUGAUUAAGUACUUCAAGUUGGACUAAAAGCCACAAAAACACCCAAACUUAGACUUCAUAAAAGCAAAGCCUGUUGGACAGUUGUAUAUGUCUUCAUGGUCAAAUUGUCAUAACAAGGUUGUAAACUACGCUUUCUAUCCACUUUGCCUCACUUUCUUUGGAGGUCUUGAUCUCCAGCGACGCUGAAAAUAGGAACUUACGCAAAAAGACCAAUAAACCGUGUCUUGUGAUUUUGUAAAAAAA